rnacentral:misc_RNA from 1 species
GCAGACCAGUGCCCGCA